UGCGCAGGCGGCUCCUUAAGUCAGAUGUGAAAGCCCCGGGCUUAACCUGGGAACUGCGUUUGAAACUGGGGAGCUAGAGUGUAGAAGAGGGGGGUGGAAUUCCAGGUGUAGCAGUGAAAUGCGUAGAGAUCUGGAGGAACACCGAUGGCGAAGGCAGCCCCCUGGGCUAACACUGACGCUCAUGCACGAAAGCUGGGAGCGAACA
rnacentral:rRNA from 1 species